UACGUAGGGGGCGAGCGUUGUCCGGAUUUAUUGGGCGUAAAGAGCGUGUAGGCGGCCAGGUAGGUCUGCUGUGAAAACUCGAGGCUCAACCUCGAGACGUCGGCGGAAACCAUCUGGCUAGAGUCCGGAAGAGGAGAGUGGAAUUCCUGGUGUAGCGGUGAAAUGCGCAGAUAUCAGGAGGAACACCGGUGGCGAAGGCGGAUCUCUGGGCCGUAACUGACGCUGAGGAGCGAAAGCAUGGGGAGCGAACAGG
rnacentral:rRNA from 1 species